rnacentral:rRNA from 1 species
GACGAACGCUGGCGGCGUGCCUAACACAUGCAAGUCGAGCGGGGAUUUAAGUGGAAGUUCUUCGGAAUGGAGAUUUGAAUUCUAGCGGCGGACGGGUGAGUAACGCGUGAACAAUCUGUCCCGGACAGGGGGAUAACACUUGGAAACAGGUGCUAAUACCGCAUAAGACCACGGCCUCGCAUGGGGCUGAGGUAAAAGGAGCAAUCCGGUUCGGGGUGAGUUCGCGUCCGAUUAGCUAGUUGGUGAGGUAACGGCCCACCAAGGCGACGAUCGGUAGCCGGCCUGAGAGGGUGAACGGCCACAUUGGAACUGAGAGACGGUCCAAACUCCUACGGGAGGCAGCAGUGGGGAAUAUUGGGCAAUGGGCGAAAGCCUGACCCAGCAACGCCGCGUGAGGGAAGAAGGUUUUCGGAUUGUAAACCUCUGUCCUAUGGGACGAAGGAAGUGACGGUACCAUAGGAGGAAGCCCCGGCUAACUACGUG